rnacentral:snRNA from 1 species
AUCGCUUCUCGGCCUUUUGGCUAAGAUCAAGUGUAGGACUAUGGAUAAAUCAGCAUAACCCGUUAAUAUUAGUAUCGCCAGAUGUAAAAAUUAAAACAGUUGGAUACUAUCAGUAGAAAUCUUUCCUUCUGUGAAGGAUAGUACUUUUA